rnacentral:rRNA from 1 species
GACGAACGCUGGCGGCGUGCUUAACACAUGCAAGUCGAACGGAAAGGCCCUGCUUUUGUGGGGUGCUCGAGUGGCGAACGGGUGAGUAACACGUGAGUAACCUGCCCUUGACUUUGGGAUAACUUCAGGAAACUGGGGCUAAUACCGGAUAGGAGCUCCUGCUGCAUGGUGGGGGUUGGAAAGUUUCGGCGGUUGGGGAUGGACUCGCGGCUUAUCAGCUUGUUGGUGGGGUAGUGGCUUACCAAGGCUUUGACGGGUAGCCGGCCUGAGAGGGUGACCGGCCACAUUGGGACUGAGAUACGGCCCAGACUCCUACGGGAGGCAGCAGUGGGGAAUAUUGCACAAUGGGCGGAAGCCUGAUGCAGCAACGCCGCGUGCGGGAUGACGGCCUUCGGGUUGUAAACCGCUUUCGCCUGUGACGAAGCGUGAGUGACGGUAAUGGGUAAAGAAGCACCGGCUAACUACGUGCCAGCAGCCGCGGUGAUACGUAGGGUGCGAGCGUUGUCCGGAUUUAUUGGGCGUAAAGGGCUCGUAGGUGGUUGAUCGCGUCGGAAGUGUAAUCUUGGGGCUUAACCCUGAGCGUGCUUUCGAUACGGGUUGACUUGAGGAAGGUAGGGGAGAAUGGAAUUCCUGGUGGAGCGGUGGAAUGCGCAGAUAUCAGGAGGAACACCAGUGGCGAAGGCGGUUCUCUGGGCCUUUCCUGACGCUGAGGAGCGAAAGCGUGGGGAGCGAACAGGCUUAGAUACCCUGGUAGUCCACGCUGUAAACGGUGGGUACUAGGUGUGGGGUCCAUUCCACGGGUUCCGUGCCGUAGCUAACGCUUUAAGUACCCCGCCUGGGGAGUACGGCCGCAAGGCUAAAACUCAAAGGAAUUGACGGGGCCCCGCACAAGCGGCGGAGCAUGCGGAUUAAUUCGAUGCAACGCGUAGAACCUUACCUGGGUUUGACAUGGAUCGGGAGCGCUCAGAGAUGGGUGUGCCUCUUUUGGGGUCGGUUCACAGGUGGUGCAUGGCUGUCGUCAGCUCGUGUCGUGAGAUGUUGGGUUAAGUCCCGCAACGAGCGCAACCCUUGUUCACUGUUGCCAGCACGUUAUGGUGGGGACUCAGUGGAGACCGCCGGGGUCAACUCGGAGGAAGGUGGGGAUGACGUCAAGUCAUCAUGCCCCUUAUGUCCAGGGCUUCACGCAUGCUACAAUGGCUGGUACAGAGAGUGGCGAGCCUGUGAGGGUGAGCGAAUCCCGGAAAGCCGGUCUCAGUUCGGAUUGGGGUCUGCAACUCGACCUCAUGAAGUCGGAGUCGCUAGUAAUCGCAGAUCAGCAACGCUGCGGUGAAUACGUUCCCGGG